rnacentral:rRNA from 1 species
AGUGGCGACCGGGUGAGUAACACGUGACUAACCUACCUUGAAUGGGGAAUAACCUUCCGAAAGGAGGUCUAAUACCGCAUAAAGUCCUAAGGAUGAAACGCCUAAGGACCAAAGGAGCAAUUCGUUUAAGGAGGGGGUCGCGGUUGAUUAGCUAGUUGGUGGGGUAAUGGCCCACCAAGGCGAUGAUCAAUAGCCGGCCUGAGAGGGCGCACGGCCACACUGGAACUGAAACACGGUCCAGACUCCUACGGGAGGCAGCAGUGGGGAAUUUUGCGCAAUGGGGGAAACCCUGACGCAGCAACGCCGCGUGGAGGAUGAAGGUCUUUGGAUUGUAAACUCCUUUCGAUCGGGAAGAUAAUGACGGUACCGGAAGAAGAAGCCCCGGCUAACUUCGUGCCAGCAGCCGCGGUAAUACGAAGGGGGCAAGCGUUGUUCGGAAUUAUUGGGCGUAAAGGGAGCGUAGGCGGUUCGGCAAGUCUUUAGUGAAAUCUCUGGGCUCAACUCAGAGUCUGCUGGAGA